AACGCAAAUGGCACCGUCUUGGCAAAGAGACGGUAUGACUGUUUGAGUGCCUGAUUUUGUUACUACAUUUGUAGUAGAUGUGGCCUUGACCUGGUGUAGGCCGGGUCUCGGCUGGAAUGGAUCUGUGCUGCGCCUGGGGUGUAGUGUGCUAGCGGACGGUAGUCCAAGGUCACUAUAUUCUGCUGGUGCAUUAGAGCACAUUAACGCGUAAUGCGAUACAAACCUAAACAAAAGCCUCAAAUCAGUCAGGGCUACCCGCUGAACUUAA
rnacentral:misc_RNA from 1 species